AUUUUUUAAUAAAAUUUUGCAACUAUAUUCAUUUGUUAUCCUUUAUCAUUAGGCAUGGAUAACUCUGUAGAGUUGAGUGGUGGGAAAACUGUGAAAUGAAAGACAUUUCUAAGGAAGUUAAAAUAUUAUAUUACAUUUAGGCUAAAUAAUAAGCCCUAAAUUUGGAAGAAAGGGACAUACAAUAUUUUUAAGAGAAAAUCAAUUUCUUCCCUUCACCUACCAACUAAAUGAAUAUGGAGCAAACAUGGGAAGUCCAUUGGUUUGGAGAAAGCCCACAUUGCUAAUCUGCCUUGGGCAUCUCAUGUCUGCAUGCAGCCCCUGUUUACAAUAUCUAGUCCCAGUAUUAUUUUUUUCCUUUUAGUUCUGAGUGAAUGCGUUUUAUUCCUUGAUUCAACAAGCAUAUCAAGUGAAUGUCAACUGCAUGUCAGGUGCUGUCCUAGGUACUCUCAAAUAUCAUCACAUUGUAUCUUUACAAACAAAACUAUUUGGAUUUUCACGAAUGAGAAAAUGAGGUUCGUUUCAGAAGCUAAGUAACUUCCCAGAGAUCCAGAUACAAUAUUAAUUAAUGUAUUUAAUGAAUUGGGUCUUUUUUUCCUUACCACAUUCCAAAAGGGAUUCAAGGCUUUUCAUUUAAAAAUUAAAGCCAGGGUGCCUGGCAGGCUUAGUCAGUAAAGCAUGUAACUUUAAUCUCUGGAGUUUUGAGUUCAAGCCCCACAUUGGGUGCGGAUUUUGCUAAAAUAAAUAAGUGAAUGAAUGCAUAGAUAAAUAAAUAACUCUACGUAGCCCUUUCUGUUUCAUGAUGGUUCAUUGGACAGAUGUGUUCACCUUGGCUGUCCCCUGGAAGCCCAUGAAAUUACAGCAGUGAGGUUAUUAUAAAGACACAUGUAGUUACGGGGUCAAAGUGAAUGAGAGAGGAAACAUUCACAAGGCACAUGGAGAGUGAAGUAAAAAAGCAGCUGAUUAGAUCAACCCAAAACAGGUGAGAGCCAAACACGCAGAGAGGAAGCCCGGAAGCAACCUGCCUCACAGAACUUCACAAAAUCUCGGAGACAGGCAGCACCAGGUACCUUAAAAUUGGAGUAAAAUCAGAAUUGAAAACAGGAAGAUUGCUUGAAAAUCUAGUAAGAUGCAGUAGAUCCCCCAGAUCCCCUCCCCAGCCUCAGCAAAAUGGCGUGGGUUGAUUUUUAGAAAACAGGGAGCAGGAGGGACUCUGCCCCCAAACACUGGGCAGAGCUGAGGUUUAAGGUACGUGCUAGAAACAGGUGGGCUUGGGAAGCCUGUCCAUUGAAUCUGGAGAUGUCCCAACAGUCCCUGCCAUGUUGGGAGCCAGGUAUUCCACCAAGAGACUGGGACUUCCUUCUCUGGGGAUUCGAACCAGUCCUAGAAAAAAAUUCCAUGUAUACUGACUUUGUAGGUUCUCCAGUGAAAUGUCCCACCUGAUGAUGCCUCGGUGGAGCCUUCCAUGAAGAGUUUGCAUUCAGAAGUUAGUUAUACACCUGGACAGAUAGCCACGGAUUGACAUUGAACACUUGGGGAAAGCCUGUAACAAGGAAAAAGGGAGCCCCACACUAACAAACCGAAAGAAGAAACCUAGGGAAAUAGGAAAUGCGGAAGGAAGAAAACUUUGAAAAAACUCACUAAGACUCUCAAAGGAAAAGAAGAUAUUGUCCACAAGUCCCAAGAACAGAACGCUAUAAAAAAGAAAUUUUCAGGAAACAAGAGAGUUGCAGUAUAUAGCUGAGGAGUGUGAUAAACAGAUUUCCAAAAGUGUCCUGAUAAGAUCUCCAUCCCCUAGUGAUACAAAUGCUAACCUCGAUGCUGCUGUGGUGGAGGGACUUCAGGUCUUAAGAGAAGAAGAUGAUCCUGGAUUAUCAAGUAGGGCCAGUGUAAUCACAUUAGCCCAUAACUGCAGAAGAAAGCAAGAGACUAAGUAAGAGAUUUGAGGUGUAAGAGGGUGUGCACUAUAGGGGCCUCAUCAAAGGAUCUAGAAUCAGAAUGUCUUUGGACUACACAACUGAAAAGCUGGAACCCAGCAGCGAAUGGAGCAAAGUCUUCAAAAGUCUAUAUAAAACUUAGUCUAGUCUAGAAUUCUAUAACUGGCCAAAUCACCCGUUAAGUGUGAUGGUAGACCAAUGACAUUGUUGGACAAGUUAGCUCCCAUAAAUAUGCUUCCCAGCAUCUUUCCCAAAACAGAACUUAAACCAAAGGUGAGAAAGAGACAGGAUGGAGGAGCCAUGGGAAGGGGGAGAAAGGGGUAGAGAUGUGGUCUUAUGAAAAGCUUUAUAAAAAUAUCAGACCCUUAAAAUUUGAUUAAGAUAAUUUUUAAUAACAUACAUUGCAAAAAUAUGAAAAGAAAUAAAUGAGGAAAUGGAGUGAAGAAAAUAACCUGGGGUAAAUUUAGUACUCUCAGAUACAUACUGUCUGGCCUCAAUUCCAAGAGCUGGAUCACAAAUUUGGCUCCAUUCUUCCAAGAUACUGGGACAAUAGAAAUACACAAUCAGUUAUAAGAUUUAUAGUGUCCAUAGGACAAACACACCACAGAUGUUCAGCAGAAAUGCAGCUUUUCCUGAUACCUGAGACAAAUUUCUCCCGUGGGCUCUCAUAAAAAGGACACUGCAUGAUGUUGCAGUCGGUGUCCUUGAAACUAUCCCAACGAUAUUUACAACAGUAAAUUUUGCGUUGUUUUUUCUUAUGUCCAUCAAAAUAGGCAGAUGGCAAAAAAUGGAAACACAAUUUAGUACAAGUCCCAGAGCCAAAAGUACGUGUUCUGAGGAUAGUGUUUAGAAAUGGGUGUCCUUCAGUCCUCAGUAAACAUUGCUUCUCACAAUCUAGGCUUUUUUUUUUCCUUGCAUCUCCAUAUUUACCCCAGGUUGGUGUUUAGAAACAAGAGGCAGAUCAGACAAACUCAGGUAGGUAAAGGGUCUGAGAUUUGCCCUACUGUCACUCACCAGGUGGCCUGCCACAGUUUCAUGGAUGCUGACAAAAGAUACAGGACUCCUGGGUCAGAGACAAAGGACUCUAUUAUAGUAAUAACAUUAGUCAAAGUAUCAACAUUUGUGCUGGCUCCCAGGGUAACACAAAGAAUGCCAGAUAAUACCUGCUAGUACUCUGCAUUGCAUUACAGAGAGGAGCCCUUAGCGUAGAAAAUUACAUCUUUUAUAAUGAGAAGUAAGUCUCCUUUUUGUACUUGAGAACGACACUGUGUAUGCCAAGCAAACUUGCUCUUUGCUCCAGAGGCAGAUGCUUUAUCUUCCAAGGCUGUUCACUAUAUAACAUCCUUGAAAGGGCUGUCCAGAACAAAAGUAGUCAGUGCCUCUCCCUGCGAAAGAAGUGCAAGUUGGACAGAAAUGCAAGAGAGCCAUGGGAACUGCCUCCCAACAAUGGGCGGGACCGAAGAAUGCCAGACGGCAAACUUCAAGAGGAAGAAGUCUCAGGAGAAGUCUGGGGAGUCCCAAAGAUGCAUCCCAAGCCUCAACAAGACAUGAAGUUCAAAUCAUAACAACAGCUGCCAUUGGUAUAAACAGCUGGAGCAGAAAGUGUGCACUGUGCAGAACACAGUCUAGUGCAGCCACAUGUAUCUAAGGAAUCAUGUUUGGGUCGCCAUUGGAAGAAGUCCCAGAAAAUCUACAUAAUUUAUCGUUGCUGCUUACACCAGUUACAGGGUCCGUGUAGAAAUGGCUGCAAUUUCAGAGACAUGGAGAAAAGGAAGAUGGUGUUCCUGGUCACCUCAGGUCCAACAAUGAGGUACAUUUGUGAAAAUAAGUGAAACCUCACUUAAAAAUAGAGUGGGCAAGCCCUGCAGGGGGCACUCAUAUACAUACCACUCCUUGCAGCCUGCUUACCAACAGAAAGAAGAAACAGAAUCCCUUGGAAAAGGGAGGGCAAAGGGACUUUGCACAUAGGAAUUUGUCUCCUGCCUUUAAGAAAAGUAAGGGAGAUCCAACAAAGCACCAACCACCACCACCUGGAGCUCCUGUUCUUCUCAAACGAACUUUUGUUCAGAACAGCCCUCCCUGGCAUCCUCCUAAACCUAAAAAAAGCUCACCUUCCCUUUGUGUUGUUGGACUUGCCUAUGGUUCGCCACAGCUUGCAUGUCCUGAAUUGUGAUUUCUCUGUUAUCCCCACAGAAAUUCAUUUUGCUGGUAAAACUGGCUAUUUCAUUUUGAAGGUUGGCACAUUUUAGCUAGGCAGAAGAGUGACCCCAUAACGUCCACAUAUGGGGUGCCAGAAACCACCAGGUCAAACUGACCAAAUAAUCCUGGAAUUUUCCAGGAAUCAACAUGUUUUUUGCUAUAUCACAUGCACAGUUCUCCAGCCCGUUCUGUCUUCAGUAUUACUUACCAGCAGGUCAUGUCUCCACUUCAUUUCCAUUAGGCCCAGACGUUCCUUACUGAAUAUCUUCCAUGGCACCAGCCUUGCUAUUCCAUUCAAAACAUUUACCUGCCUCUGAAAUGGCAACCUCCCAACUAAAAAUCUCCCUUCUGGCUAAUCGUGAGUCCUGGUAUUCCAUCUCCUGAAGGAACCAGCCGAAUGAAGUCUCAUUCUGCGCUGUCAUGAGGACAAAGGUCCUCUCUCGACCAGCCGAAUGAAGUCUCAUUCUGCGCUGCCAUGAGGACAAAGGUCCUCUCUCGGGAAUCACUGCAAGGCAGUGACCCGUCGCCAAACCGCCUGCUGCUAGUUUUGCUUUUACUCUCUAUUCUCCUUUUCACCUAUGGGGAAGCCUGGAAACUGGAGACAUAUGUAAAAUAUUUACUAGAUCCUAAUGAUAGGAUGUGUAUGUGGAGUGAUUGGGGCCCUUAUAUUAAUCAUGGGAUGAGGGGACUUUGCCAGAGGAAAUUGAUAGGGGGUUUUCAAUCACCUUGUAUUGGGUUCAUUUAUAAUCAGAAAUAUUAUUCUGUAAGUCAUCUUACUAGUACUAGAUAUACUGCAUGGAAAGUUCCUUGGAAAUUAGUCAAAGAUAUGUUUAGAUGUUGCCCCUGGCCAAGAUAUUGCAAUGCAUUGUGUCCUAAGUUUAUGACUAAUCCUAAAGGUUGCCAUUGUGAAGUGUACAAUGGAUUAGAAGACAACCUGUACCCUAAUGUGUAUAAAUAAAUUGUAAAACUCUGACUGCGUCAAUAUGAACACAACAACAUUGUAAAGCUUCUUAAAAAAGUUAUCAUGACCCUAAGAACCUGGUGAACUUUACACAAGAAUUGUAAUAAGAUAAAUGACCCUGUUUGUGACAUUGUUAAAGAUUUCUUUUCAUUGUAUCUACCUUAUGUAAACUGAGGAAAUAACCUUUGAGGAACUUUCUGUGAACUUUGUACCUUCCCCUUUCCCUGAAAAUAAUCAUGUUAGACUAUAUAUGUCGGUACACUCAUGCCUGCCUCAUGCCUAUCAUGUAGAAUUAGUUAUCCCCCACCUGUUAAGACUCCGGUCCCCAAGUGAUAAAUAACUCCUUCGCUACCUACAAUAAAGGCUGAUGUGCAGAAACUGAAGUGUGACUUCCUUCGCCGACGUCCACCCAUCCCAUCAGGAACCCUGACUGCUGGAGCUGGUCUCCGGCAAGUGGCGCCCGAACAGGGACCUGAAUUGGGACAUGAUGAUCUUAAUAAUAUGCAACGACACUGGGAACCAAGAAAUACUGUCAAACCUACAGUAAUGUGGAAAGACCUUUUAUCUGGUAAAUGGAAAGGGCCUGACAUUUUGCUUACUUCUGGCAGGGGAUAUGUUUGUGUCUUUCCUAAGGAAGCUGAUUCUCCACUUUGGUUACCAGAUAGGCAUAUUAAAUAUGUAAAUUCCUUUCCCAGUAAAGUACCUGUAACCACUAGAAAUGAACAAGAGCAGGAAACGGCGCAAUUGUGACAAACCUCCUGUUGCAGAAUUUAAAAGGCUCUCACUGGAGAAACCUAAUCUUUUUCGCCUCAAGACAGCGGCCACCUUGGCUGCCCCCCCUCCAAAACGGGGACAGCUUAAGAAGUUGGCUGCUCAGGCUAAACACUUGGUUUUAAGCCAAGGCUGCACACUCAGUCCUUCUGUUUUGUUCGUUGCUAUGCUAUCAAUCCUCGCGUGUCAAGUAAGUACCUGUAGUGCAGAACAAUUCUGGGCUUUCUUUCCUAAUCCUCCUCACUUUCAUCCAGUAACCUGGGAUGAUAAUACUACACAUUUUAUUGUUAAUAAUACUGUUAUUAUGGAAGGUCCAAAAAUCGUAUACUCUGAUUCUCAUACUACUCCAACUAUUAAUUAUAAUUAUACCUACUUGGGAACUUCGCCUUCUAUGCCUAUUUGUUUUUCUAUCCCUACUGUUUGGCCAUACUCCCAAAACUUUCCACAAUGUGUCGGACUCCAAACCACAGGUAUAAUUUUUGACCAUCCACCACCAUCUAAAUUUGAAUCAUCAUCUACGAGAGUCUUCUUCAAAGUCCUCGCCCGAAGUCUCCAAAAGCUAACUGCUGAAGUUCAACUGCUUGCUUUAAAAAAUAAAAAAGGGGGAAAUGAAGGAACCAGCCGAAUGAAGUCUCAUUCUGCGCUGUCAUGAGGACAAAGGUCCUCUCUCGACCAGCCGAAUGAAGUCUCAUUCUGCGCUGCCAUGAGGACAAAGGUCCUCUCUCGGGAAUCACUGCAAGGCAGUGACCCGUCGCCAAACCGCCUGCUGCUAGUUUUGCUUUUACUCUCUAUUCUCCUUUUCACCUAUGGGGAAGCCUGGAAACUGGAGACAUAUGUAAAAUAUUUACUAGAUCCUAAUGAUAGGAUGUGUAUGUGGAGUGAUUGGGGCCCUUAUAUUAAUCAUGGGAUGAGGGGACUUUGCCAGAGGAAAUUGAUAGGGGGUUUUCAAUCACCUUGUAUUGGGUUCAUUUAUAAUCAGAAAUAUUAUUCUGUAAGUCAUCUUACUAGUACUAGAUAUACUGCAUGGAAAGUUCCUUGGAAAUUAGUCAAAGAUAUGUUUAGAUGUUGCCCCUGGCCAAGAUAUUGCAAUGCAUUGUGUCCUAAGUUUAUGACUAAUCCUAAAGGUUGCCAUUGUGAAGUGUACAAUGGAUUAGAAGACAACCUGUACCCUAAUGUGUAUAAAUAAAUUGUAAAACUCUGACUGCGUCAAUAUGAACACAACAACAUUGUAAAGCUUCUUAAAAAAGUUAUCAUGACCCUAAGAACCUGGUGAACUUUACACAAGAAUUGUAAUAAGAUAAAUGACCCUGUUUGUGACAUUGUUAAAGAUUUCUUUUCAUUGUAUCUACCUUAUGUAAACUGAGGAAAUAACCUUUGAGGAACUUUCUGUGAACUUUGUACCUUCCCCUUUCCCUGAAAAUAAUCAUGUUAGACUAUAUAUGUCGGUACACUCAUGCCUGCCUCAUGCCUAUCAUGUAGAAUUAGUUAUCCCCCACCUGUUAAGACUCCGGUCCCCAAGUGAUAAAUAACUCCUUCGCUACCUACAAUAAAGGCUGAUGUGCAGAAA